ACGCAGAAGUAUAAACCAGGCUUUAGACUUUGCGCCUAGAUCGUUGAAAUAGAGCUGUAGGUUUUAAACGUCAAUGAAGUAAACAAUUAUCUGUAAAAUAAGGAUUUUAACAGUUCUGAACAGUUUAGUCAAUUAAGCAUUUCAAAUAUAAGGAGAACCAUAUUUAAUAUAGAAAUUAAUACUGUUUUGUCUACCUCAAAUACAAAAAACAAAUCUGAAACAUACAAUGAGAUUCAUUCAACAACAACAUCUGCAACAGGAGAAAGGAUUUAUUGAAGGUGAUAUAUGAUUCAAAUCCUUUUCAUCUCAUAUAGACAUACACAAAUGUGAAAUUAUGAUUUGAUCAUCAAAAUAAAAAGUAUACGCUGUAUUUACAGUAAUAAUAAUAAUAAAAAACAAGUCUAUCAAAUAUUACAGCUCUGAUUAACAGUAUGAUUAACAUUCAAACAUGUACAUUUACGCAAUUAUUAGAUACAGUAUUAAAAAAUAAAACCGGUUUAGUAACAUAAUACAUGAGGGCGAAAGUAAGCUUAUGAUGUUCAUGAUAUUUACAGUGGCAUAAAAAGUCUUCGCAGGGCUCUGAGCUAAUAAAAACUCAAUGCUUUCUCUUUAUCAAAUCAAAAUGUUGAUUUCUCACAGUUUUCUUGUUGAAUAUUACUUAUAGAUCCUUAAAAAACAUCCGGUUCCUUUUGUUUUUCAGCGGAGGAGUGGAGCUCGAGCUUUGGAGAUGGAGUUACUGUAAAAAAAUAAGAAAUAUAUUAAAAUGACAGCAGUGUUAUGAUGAGGACGAGCAGCGCAUGCAGACGGAUACUGAGAAACGAUGGAGAUUUACAGAAGGUAAAGGAGGAAAUCUGAUACCAUGGUUUGUGAAAGCGCACCGAUGGCAUUGCGUGAAGAGUUUUCCUUCUUCUGGACACAGAGCGUCUAUUACAGAUGAAAACCAUAUAAAUAACCGAUGAUUUUCAGCAUUCAAAACUUCAGUGCAUCCCUACUCUGAAUCUGAACCAGGAAAGAUGCAGAUAAAGAUGAGAAACGCCCGAAAAAACUCAUGCAGAAAAGCUGAAGAGACGCGACUGGACGAAGCGGGCCAUACCGCAGACUUACAGAGGCGAGGAAACUCAGACUGCGGCCGAACUGAUGGAUCUUAAGUGCUUUAUGUUCGACUGCUUGAUGAAACUAUUAUUAUUGGCCACGGAGGCAUCGCUAAUGUCACAGAACACACCGUCCGUUUCACAGGCCACUACCUGCAAACUGCCUAAAGAUUUAGCCAGCCUUGAAUGUAAAGGGCUGUGAAAGGAAAACGGGAAAAUUAAUCACAAUAAAGCUCACUCAAGUUGCUUUUAGUACUUGAAAUAC
rnacentral:lncRNA from 1 species